rnacentral:rRNA from 1 species
CGUGUAGGCGGGUUGGUAAGUCAGAUGUGAAAGCCCUGGGCUCAACCCAGGAAGUGCAUUUGAAACUGCCAUCCUUGAGUAUGGGAGGGGAGAGUGGAAUUCCCAGUGUAGAGGUGAAAUUCGUAGAUAUUGGGAGGAACACCCGUAGCGAAGGCGACUCUCUGGACCAAUACUGACGCUGAGACGCGAAAGCGUGGGUAGCAAACAGGAUUAGAUACCCUGGUAGUCC